rnacentral:ncRNA from 2 species
GGACAGGACUCUGGAGAGACCCUACCUAGGGCGCCGAAGGGGCAAGAUAGCACUAAGCUGUUAAAUCUCUCAGGCAAAAGGACAGAGAAAACGGU